CUCAUCAUCACCACAGAGCUGACGCUGUCAGGUUUUGGAUGCCCGGGAUCUGUUCCCUCUUCCUCCAGCUAUAGCUGGUGACCAGUGGGAAAGCACCGCUUCCUCCUAGCCUAUGGGGUCCUCAUGCCUUUGCUCUGGGGGUGUGCACAUGAUCUGCACCUGGCCAACCUGCAUUUUCCAUCCCUCUGACUGCAGCAUUGGUUCAGGACAGAACGUGUGACCAAAGUUGGACCCAUGAGAGGUAUCUCUAGGCCUUUUUCCACAGCUCUUGAGGAUUUCUGCCUAAGUUGUUAAGGGCCAUCUUUGCUACCCAUUGAGCCAAUACAGAAGCAAAGAGGUACAAGGGAUCGGAAGAUAACAUGGUACGAAGUCUGAUGACACCGAGCAUCUAGCCUCACACUCUUGGGCCAGGCAUUGAAGUCACAUGAGCCAAUCAAUUUAGUUUUUGCUUUAGCUUAUUAGUUGAUUUGGGUGGCUCUGAUUUUCACCCAAAAAGAUCCUGACAUGAGAGAGCUGUAAAAACUUGAGUUGAACCAUCUCAGCAAAGGAAAUUGCUGCUUCAACUAUUGUCCUUUUGCUUUGGCUGAAGGAGGACGCGAUCAUCCUCGUUUUCAAUCCCUCCUUCUCACGUCCUUAGUUUUCCAUACUGCAUUUAGGUAUUCCUUGUACCACCAUGCUGACAUGAAGCAGAAUUCCAUACAGCCCUCGUGUCCUUUGUGUGAAAAGGCUCAUGUCCAUGGAGAUGGCUGGUCAAGGGCAACGGUAUUUGAAGAAAUUACCCUGAUUUCUGAUGUUGCUGGGUGUUGAGUAGUUCCUUAGAGGAUGCAUCAGGUACUUGUCUUUAUAUUUUAUGAAUGUUAAAACCCUGGAAACAGAGUGUCAGAGGAUGAGAAGAGACUGGCUUUUAAAGAUGUUCUAUAUUUAAAUUAUAGCUGCAAGCUGCGUAUUUUCACCUACAUUAACAGCAGGGAAGCAGCUAUACUUUUCUGAACCAUUUGCC
rnacentral:lncRNA from 1 species